UACGUAGGGUGCGAGCGUUGUCCGGAUUUAUUGGGCGUAAAGAGCGUGUAGGCGGCCAGUUAGGUCCGUUGUGAAAACUCGAGGCUCAACCUCGAGACGUCGGCGGAAACCCUCUGGCUAGAGUCCGGAAGAGGAGAGUGGAAUUCCUGGUGUAGCGGUGAAAUGCGCAGAUAUCAGGAAGAACACCCGUGGCGAGGGCGGCUCUCUGGGACGGUACUGACGCUGAGACGCGAAAGCGUGGGGAGCAAACAGG
rnacentral:rRNA from 1 species